rnacentral:lncRNA from 1 species
CGUGGUGGAGAGGAGACCCCUGCACAAGACGAGAUCACCCCCCUUGGAAAUGAGAGGUUUUCUUGGGGUUGUGUACUCUUCUUGAUGUGUUUCCUAACCCUUUUCCCCAAUUUGGGUGGUACAUUCUCCAGCUCAUUUUUUGGUGCUCCAUACUUCCGCGGUGAUCUGUAAUUGUGUAUACUUAUAGAAAAUAUAUUGUAAAGUGCUAUUUUUUUGUUAAGAUCAGGUGUUAUCUCUCUAAUUGAAUGUUUAGAUGCACGCUUUGAUACCUUCCAGUGAAGUUAUUCAAUGAAAUGGUGCGAAAAGGCAUAACCUAUUAGCAGAGAUCAUAUGCUUGAAGUCUUCAAGCCAACUAUCCUGCUUCCUGGUUGGNNNNNNNNNNNNNNNNNNNNNNNNNUUGGAAAUGAGAGGUUUUCUUGGGGUUGUGUACUCUUCUUGAUGUGUUUCCUAACCCUUUUCCCCAAUUUGGGUGGUACAUUCUCCAGCUCAUUUUUUGGUGCUCCAUACUUCCGCGGUGAUCUGUAAUUGUGUAUACUUAUAGAAAAUAUAUUGUAAAGUGCUAUUUUUUUGUUAAGAUCAGGUGUUAUCUCUCUAAUUGAAUGUUUAGAUGCACGCUUUGAUACCUUCCAGUGAAGUUAUUCAAUGAAAUGGUGCGAAAAGGCAUAACCUAUUAGCAGAGAUCAUAUGCUUGAAGUCUUCAAGCCAACUAUCCUGCUUCCUGUUGACUGAUUAUGUAAGUGGUUUUUGUGUAGAGUCAGAUGUUCUGAUAUUCUCUGAAACAUUUCUGGGCAUAGCUAUGCCUAAUCUGGAUAUGCUGGUUGCAUUUCCCAAUAAUCGGAAUUGCAUCAUGAUAUGAAUCAUAAAAUAAUAAUCACUAUAUCAGACCUAUUGUAAAGCAGGAAGCAGGUAACUUUCAUGAUUUGUAUCCCAAGUUGAUAGCAGAAAAAAGUAGAGUAAUUGUUUCUAUGCGGUGGCAAGCUCGUUGAAGACAGAUGAAAGCUGUCACACUGAUACAGGGCUUAGCUGUAUACCCUCUUCCAUGUAUUUCAAUGUUUUAUUAUGUUUGUGUCAUUCAGUAACUGAAUUCAUUGAGAAUACUGAUAUGAACAAUUUGUUGUUGUGUUAUAUGCAAAUAAGACUAUAAAGGAAUACUUCUGUAACCUGUAGUUCUCUCAGUUUGCGGAGUUAAAACGAUCUGUAAGGUAUCCUUGGAUUUUAAGUUUGUGAUUUUGUUUUGCUUUCAACACUGCAAUGUGUACUAGAAACACACAUGGCAGCAUACUGGUGCUUUGUUAUGAGACUCCAAAACAUUUCCUCUUCUUAAGCUUGUGAAAUUGAGAUUGGAAAGUCUGUGGUGGCUUACGAGCUUAUUUAGACUUAAUUUCAGAGGCCUUGAAGUGUUUCAGAACUUUAUUCUUGUGAUAUUACUGCUUGGUGAUCUUUCUGCAUCGUCUGUGAGAUUGUUAAAUCUUUAAUUGUUGAUAUUACAUACAUGACCUCCUUUUCAUGCGCUUUCUCCCAUGACAUGAAUAUAUCGAGGCUAAAAGGUUCUUAAUUACUCACACAGGCGGAUUCCGGAUUUAAAUUUGAUGGGUUUAACAUUUAUAUUCUUUCAACGCAUGGGUUUGGAUUUUAUUAUCUGUUGAAAUUUUGGUGGUUUCACAUGUAUAUCCAUGUCUUGUGUGAAAAAUGUU